rnacentral:rRNA from 1 species
UGCAGCCGAGCGGUAGAGUUUCUUCGGAAACUUGAGAGCGGCGUACGGGUGCGGAACACGUGUGCAACCUGCCUUUAUCAGGGGGAUAGCCUUUCGAAAGGAAGAUUAAUACCCCAUAAUAUUUAGAAUGGCAUCAUUUUAAAUUGAAAACUCCGGUGGAUAGAGAUGGGCACGCGCAAGAUUAGAUAGUUGGUGAGGUAACGGCUCACCAAGUCUGCGAUCUUUAGGGGGCCUGAGAGGGUGAUCCCCCACACUGGUACUGAGACACGGACCAAACUCCUACGGGAGGCAGCAGUGAGGAAUAUUGGACAAUGGGUGCGAGCCUGAUCCAGCCAUCCCGCGUGAAGGACGACGGCCCUAUGGGUUGUAAACUUCUUUUGUAUAGGGAUAAACCUACCCUCGUGAGGGUAGCUGAAGGUACUAUACGAAUAAGCACCGGCUAACUCCGUGCCAGCAGCCGCGGUAAUACGGAGGGUGCAAGCGUUAUCCGGAUUUAUUGGGUUUAAAGGGUCCGUAGGCGGAUCUGUAAGUCAGUGGUGAAAUCUCACAGCUUAACUGUGAAACUGCCAUUGAUACUGCAGGUCUUGAGUGUUGUUGAAGUAGCUGGAAUAAGUAGUGUAGCGGUGAAAUGCAUAGAUAUUACUUAGAACACCAAUUGCGAAGGCAGGUUACUAAGCAACAACUGACGCUGAUGGACGAAAGCGUGGGGAGCGAACAGGAUUAGAUACCCUGGUAGUCCACGCCGUAAACGAUGCUAACUCGUUUUUGGUAUUUCGGUAUCAGAGACUAAGCGAAAGUGAUAAGUUAGCCACCUGGGGAGUACGUUCGCAAGAAUGAAACUCAAAGGAAUUGACGGGGGCCCGCACAAGCGGUGGAUUAUGUGGUUUAAUUCGAUGAUACGCGAGGAACCUUACCAAGGCUUAAAUGGGAAAUGACAGGUUUAGAAAUAGACUUUUCUUCGGACAUUUUUCAAGGUGCUGCAUGGUUGUCGUCAGCUCGUGCCGUGAGGUGUUAGGUUAAGUCCUGCAACGAGCGCAACCCCUGUCACUAGUUGCCAUCAUUAAGUUGGGGACUCUAGUGAGACUGCCUACGCAAGUAGAGAGGAAGGUGGGGAUGACGUCAAAUCAUCACGGCCCUUACGCCUUGGGCCACACACGUAAUACAAUGGCCGGUACAGAGGGCAGCUACACAGCGAUGUGAUGCAAAUCUCGAAAGCCGGUCUCAGUUCGGAUUGGAGUCUGCAACUCGACUCUAUGAAGCUGGAAUCGCUAGUAAUCGCGCAUCAGCCAUGGCGCGGUGAAUACGUUCCCGGGCCUUGUACACACCGCCCGUCAAGCCAUGGAAGUCUGGGGUACCUGAAGUCGGUGAC